AUGAACGCUGGCGGCGUGCCUCAUACAUGCCAGUCGAGCGAACGGACGAGAAGCUUGCUUCUCUGAUGUUAGCGGCGGACGGGUGAGUAACACGUGGAUAACCUACCUAUAAGACUGAGAUAACUUCGGGAAACCGGAUCUAAUACCGGAUGAUAUUUUGAACCGCAUGGUUCCAAAGUGAAAGACGGUCUUGCUGUCACUUAUAGAUGGAUCCGCGCUGCAUUAGCUAGUUGGUAAGGUAACGGCUUACCAAGGCAACGAUGCAUAGCCGACCUGAGAGGGUGAUCGGCCACACUGGAACUGAGACACGGUCCAGACUCCUACGGGAGGCAGCAGUAGGGAAUCUUCCGCAAUGGGCGAAGGCCUGACGGAGCAACGCCGCGUGAGUGAUGAAGGUCUUCGGAUCGUAAAACUCUGUUAUUAGGGAAGAACAUAUGUGUAAGUAACUGUGCACAUCUUGACGGUACCUAAUCAGAAAGCCACGGCUAACUACGUG
rnacentral:rRNA from 1 species